AACGUAGGAGGCAAGCGUUAUCCGGAUUUACUGGGCGUAAAGCGCGUGCAGGCGGUUCCAUAAGUGGGAUGUGAAAGCUCCUGGCCCAACUGGGAGAGGUCGUUCCAGACUGUGGGACUGGAGGAUGGUAGAGGGAGGUGGAAUUCCGGGUGUAGUGGUGAAAUGCGUAGAUAUCCGGAGGAACACCAGUGGCGAAAGCGGCCUCCUGGACCAUUUCUGACGCUCAGACGCGAAAGCUAGGGUAGCAAACGGG
rnacentral:rRNA from 1 species